UACGGGGGGAGCAAGCGUUGUUCGGAUUUACUGGGCGUAAAGGGCGCGUAGGCGGCGUGACAAGUCACUUGUGAAAUCUCCGGGCUUAACUCGGAACGGUCAAGUGAUACUGUCGUGCUAGAGUACAGAAGGGGCAACUGGAAUUCUCGGUGUAGCGGUGAAAUGCGUAGAUAUCGAGAGGAACACCUGCGGCGAAGGCGGUUCUCUGGGCCUUACCUGACGCUGAGGAGCGAAAGCGUGGGGAGCGAACAGG
rnacentral:rRNA from 1 species